rnacentral:misc_RNA from 1 species
GUCACGUGAUUAGAGAUUCAGCUAAAAGUGAUCUGGAUAGUGAAGAGCCCAUACUUGUUCUCAACGAAGUCACAAUUGACCGUGGGAUUUCAUCAUUUUUAACAAAUCUAGAAUGCUAUUGCGAUAAUUCUUUUGUUACUUGCGUACAAGGGGAUGGCUUAAUUUUAUCGACAACAUCUGGAAGCACAGCAUAUUCUCUUGCAGCUGGAGGAUCAAUGGUCCAU